UACGUAGGGGGCAAGCGUUGUUCGGAAUUACUGGGCGUAAAGAGUGUGUAGGCGGUGCUCUAAGUCUGUUGUGAAAUCUCCCGGCUUAACCGGGAGGGUGCGGCGGAAACUGGAGUGCUUGAGGGUGGGAGAGGUAAGCGGAAUUCCAGGUGUAGCGGUGAAAUGCGCAGAUAUCAGGAGGAACACCGGUGGCGAAGGCGGGUCUCUGGGCCGAUACUGACGCUGAGGAGCGAAAGCGUGGGGAGCGAACAGG
rnacentral:rRNA from 1 species